GACGAACGCUGGCGGCGUGCCUAACACAUGCAAGUCGAACGAAGUGGCGAACGGGCGAGUAACGCGUAAUCAACCUGCCCUCCAGCGGGGGACAACAGUUGGAAACGACUGCUAAUACCGCAUACUGAAGGAGGGGCUUGCGUCUGGUUAGCUAGUUGGAGGGGUAACGGCCCACCAAGGCGAUGAUCAAUAGGCUGGCUGAGGGGAGGAACGGCCACAUUGGGACUGAGACACGGCCCAGACUCCUACGGGAGGCAGCCGUGGGGAAUCUUCCGCAAUGGACGAAAGUCUGACGGAGCAACGCCGCGUGAGUGAUGACGGCCUUCGGGUUGUAAAGCUCUGUUAAUCGGGACGCGGUACCGGAAUAGAAAGCCACGGCUAACUACGUGCCAGCAGCCGCGGUAAUAC
rnacentral:rRNA from 1 species